rnacentral:rRNA from 1 species
AACUAACAAGGAUUCCCCUAGUAACGGCGAGUGAACCGGGAAGAGCUCAAAUUUGAAAUCUGGCGUCCUCAGGGCGUCCGAGUUGUAAUCUAUAGAGGCGUUUUCCGUGCCGGACCGUGUCCAAGUUCCUUGGAACAGGAUAUCAAAGAGGGUGACAAUCCCGUACUUGACACGACGACCGGUGCUCUGUGAUACGUCUUCUACGAGUCGAGUUGUUUGGGAAUGCAGCUCAAAAUGGGUGGUGAGUUCCAUCUAAAGCUAAAUAUUGGCGAGAGACCGAUAGCGAACAAGUACCGUGAGGGAAAGAUGAAAAGCACUUUGGAAAGAGAGUUAAACAGUACGUGAAAUUGUUGAAAGGGAAACGAUUGAAGUCAGUCGUGACCGAGAGGCUCAGCCGGCUCUGCCGGUGUAUUCCCCUCGGUCGGGUCAACAUCAGUUUUGUCCGGUGGAUAAGGGCGGUAGGAAGGUGGCACCCUCGGGUGUGUUAUAGCCUGCCGUCGCAUACAUCGGGUGAGACUGAGGAACGCAGCUCGCCUUUAUGGCCGGGGUUCGCCCACGUCCGAGCUUAGGAUGUUGACAUAAUGGCUUUAAACG